rnacentral:rRNA from 1 species
GGGCCCGCACAAGCGGCGGAGCAUGCGGAUUAAUUCGAUGCAACGCGAAGAACCUUACCUGGGUUUGACAUACAUCCUGCCGCUCCAGAGAUGGGGCUUCUUUUGGGGGUGUACAGGUGGUGCAUGGCUGUCGUCAGCUCGUGUCGUGAGAUGUUGGGUUAAGUCCCGCAACGAGCGCAACCCUUGUCGCAUGUUGCCAGCAGCACCUUUGGGUGGCUGGGGACUCAUGCGAGACUGCCGGGGUCAACUCGGAGGAAGGUGGGGAUGACGUCAAGUCAUCAUGCCCCUUAUGUCCAGGGCUUCACGCAUGCUACAAUGGCCGGUACAGAGGGCUGCGAUCCCGUGAGGGGGAGCGAAUCCCAAAAAGCCGGUCUCAGUUCGGAUUGGGGUCUGCAACUCGACCCCAUGAAGUCGGAGUCGCUAGUAAUCGCAGAUCAGCAACGCUGCGGUGAAUACGUUCCCGGGCCUU